UGGUGGAGUGAUUUGUCUGGUUAAUUCCGAUAACGAACGAGACUCUAUCCUGCUAAAUAGUCACCACGCAAUAAUUACGUGGACUGACUUCUUAGAGGGAUUCGCUACUUAUAGUGGCAUGAAAUUGAGCAAUAACA
rnacentral:rRNA from 1 species